UUGUUUCAGGUUCAAGUCAAACGCUGAGAUGUCUUUAUUUAAUACUCAACGAUGGUGGUGAAAUCUUGUAGUCAACGCACAUCCAAUCCAUGCACAAUGUGUGGACAACCUGCUCCUACCAGAUUUGGUAUAACAAAAGAUGAAUGAACGAAUACAAAUGUCAACCAAAACGAACGUUAGAUUCCAAACCCAACAGUGAGACCUUCCAAACCCACACAAUCAAAACCCUCCUCCUCUUCAACCAAUUCAAAUGGCACCAAGGAUAGCAGCAGCACCCAUGGUAAGCCCAAGGGUCAGACCUGCAACCACCCGGGCAGCUGAAGAACUGGGGCCAGGCGCUUCUGCAGGUGCUGUGGACGAUGGUGGUAAUCCAAUGCUUGAAUCGGGUGCAUCUGCACUUGCAUCCUUGACGGGAGCGGCGGCACUGGUCUUCGGAGACUCGGCUGGGGUGGCCGCGCCAGACCGCGGAGCUGCGGCCGGGGUGGUGUUUCUGGCCUUGUGAGCCCUUGCAGGCUUGCUUGGACUGCUCUUUGGAGCUGCUGCAGGAGUGAUGGGGCUCGACUUUGGCGCUCCGACUGGUACGCUGCUGCUCGGUGUUGGAGCUCCGACAGGUGCGCUGCUGCUCGCCUUUGGAGCACCGACAGGUGCGCCGGUGGUAGGCUCUGGACCCUCAACAGGUGCGCCGGUGGUAGGCUCUGGACCCUCAACAGGUGAGCCGGUGCUCGACUCUGGACCCUCAACAGGUGCGCCGGUGCUCGACUCUGGACCCUCAGCAGGUGCGCCGGUGCUCGACUCUGGACCCUCAGCAGGUGCGCCGGUGGCUCGACUCUGGACCCUCAGCAGGUGCGCCGGUGCUCGACUCUGGAGCCUCAANNN
rnacentral:lncRNA from 1 species